AGGACGAACGCUGGCGGCGUGCUUAACACAUGCAAGUCGAACGAAGUCCAUCCGGUAGCAAUACCGGUGAAGGCUUAGUGGCGAACGGGUGAGUAACACGUGAGCAACCUGCCCCGAAGACCGGGAUAACAACGGGAAACCGCUGCUAAUACCGGAUGUCCCCACCGGAUCGCAUGGUCUGGUGAGGAAAGCCUUUUACGCUUCGGGAGGGACUCGCGGCCUAUCAGCUUGUUGGUGAGGUAACGGCCCACCAAGGCGACGACGGGUAGCUGGUCUGAGAGGACGAUCAGCCACACUGGGACUGAGACACGGCCCAGACUCCUACGGGAGGCAGCAGUGGGGAAUCUUGCGCAAUGGGCGAAAGCCUGACGCAGCAACGCCGCGUGCGGGAUGAAGGCCUUCGGUUGUAACCGCUUUCAAGCAGGGACGAUAAUGACGGUACUGCAGAAGAAGCUCCGGCCAACGUACGUGCCAGCAGCCGCGGU
rnacentral:rRNA from 1 species